rnacentral:sRNA from 1 species
AGAUUUUUUAAAAAUACCAACAAAUUUUCAAUAAUUCUCAAUUAUCUCCCCUUUAACACAGUUUAAAGAGGGCGUGGCCCUUCAAACUUGAAUCCCCUUCACCUAGUGGUGCUUUGUGCCAAAUUUGGUUGAAAUCUGCCCAGUGGUUCUUGAGAAGAAGAUUAAAAUUGGAAAAGUUUACAACAACGACAAACAACGGACAAAUUGUGAUCAGAAAAGCUUACUUGAGUCUUUGGCUCAGGUGAGCUAAAAAGUAAAGCGACGACACUCGCCAUCUUGGAUUUCAGGGGGGGGGGGGGGGGCUCAAUUCACAGUUUAAUUUCAACAAGUUAUACCCUUUGUCUACCGGUUUCUGGCGAGAACUAGGUCACAAAAUGAUCCGAUGACUUCUCCCUAUACUUUAUAUAAGUAUACAUGCCGUUUUAACCACCCAGUGACCCGAAACGUCCUCGAUACCAUUCCAUUUCAUCGAAAGCAACGGAAGUUUGCAUCGAGCAACGCGACACCUAGCGGCGGCUCUCCAUAUAAAGUCAGAGAUGUUUUGAAUGCAUACGGUAAGUCCAGAGAAAUCGAAAGAACCCCGCGAAAAUAGACAGCGACCAGGAAAAAUGUGUAAACAUUGCGGAAAAUGAUCACAAUAUCUUGAUAACAGGCCAAGCUGGAACAGGAAAGACAUUAACAGUAAAAAACAUUGUCACAUGGUCACCAUCUGUACCAAGAUGGGUAAGUCUAAGCCACAUAUAGCAACAUAAAGUAACACACAGCAACAUACAGCAACUCAUAGCAACACACAAAGAAAGAAGUUAUAGUGGGGCAGCUGAUGGUCACCAUCUGUACCAAGACGGAAACACAGAAGUUACAGUUGGAUGACAGCUACACAGUGGGGCAACUGAUGGUCACCAUCUAUAUCAAGAUAGGUAUCUCUAACCAUGAGGAAUACUCACUGGUCCGCGAGAUGAUGGACGACGAGAAAGAGAAGACGCUGACUCUCCGCCGAGACAAGUCUAUUGCCAAGGACCAGAAGAAACUCGACGAGAUGAAAAAGAAACUCCACACGGACGAUGAACUGGAGUGGUUGGACCAUUCACGGACCCUGAGGGAACAGGGGGUGUUGGACGUGGACACACUACUGCUGAGGAGGAAGUUCUUUUUCUCCGACCGAAACGGUAAAUCUAACCUAAUCACGGCAGGUAAGACGAUCGGCGAGGCGUCACAGGAAGUGAUGACAGGCAUUGGAGAGACGGCUGACGUCAUGGACAGGAUGUACCAGGAGACAUUGCUAGCUCUUGCUAAGGCAGUGGCCAAUGCGACGGCCCAGCUCGUCCUGAAGGCCAAGAGUGUGGCCAGCACCACCGAGGACCAGGGGCUUCAGAACAAGGUCAUCAGCUCGGCGACCAGCUGUGCCCUCACGACAGCUCGUGGCCUGUACCAAGGAGAAAGCGGUUGUUCCUCAGCGGGAACGGAAGAAGUGGUAACUAGUGGAACAGGUAAAUUGUCAACUUGGUAUACUUCAACCGUAGAAUAUCCGUCUAAAAGAGGGACGUGAACAAUGGGAAAUAACUGCUGGGCUUAAACGUCCCAUGGCCAACAUAUUUAAUUUAUAAAAAAAGAGAAAAAAAAAAAAGAAAACAAAAAUGCUUUAAUCAUGUAUCUAGCUAUUCCCACGCUUAAGUCAGUCAUUAUGACCUAAAGACGUAAAUAUCGUCCGGAUUUUAAAAUCCACGUGGUGAGGGUAUUUACGAGUUUACAAAAAUUG